AUACGGAGGGAGCAAGCGUUAUUCGGAAUCACUGGGCGUAAAGGACGCGUAGGCGGGUUUGUAAGUCAGGUGUGAAAUCCUACAGCUCAACUGUAGAACUGCACUUGAAACUACAGACCUAGAGUAUGGAAGGGGCAGAUGGAAUUAGUGGUGUAAAGGUAAAAUCCGUAGAUAUCACUAGGAAUACCGAAAGCGAAGGCGAUCUGCUGGGACAUUACUGACGCUGAGGCGUGAAAGCGUGGGGAGCAAACAGGAUUAGAAACCCGAGUAGUCC
rnacentral:rRNA from 1 species